UGGGGAAUUUUGCACAAUGGGGGAAACCCUGAUGCAGCGACGCCGCGUGAUUUAGAAGGCCUUCGGGUUGUAAAAAUCUUUUCUAUGGGAAGAAAAUGACAGUACCAUAGGAAUAAGGACCGGCUAAUUACGUGCCAGCAGCCGCGGUAAUACGUAAGGUUCGAGAGUUGUCCGGAAUCAUUGGGCGUAAAGGGUACGUAGGCGGGUAAGCAAGUUAGAAGUGAAAUCCUAUAGCGCAACUAUAGUAAGCUUUUAAAACUGCUCAUCUUGAGGUAUGGAAGGGAAAGUGGAAUUACUAGUGGAGCGGUGAAAUGCGAAGAUAUUAGGAGGAAUACCGGUGGCGAAGGCGGCUUUCUGGCCAUAACCUGACGCUGAGGUACGAAAGCGUAGGUAGCAAACAGG
rnacentral:rRNA from 1 species